CUUUAUUAAACCUAAUGCAUAACAGUACUACUAUUAAUAUAUUAAGAAUAAAGACAGUUUAUUUAGGUACUAAUAUUUAAAUAGGUCAGGUUUACACCUUGAUAUUUUAAUACCAAUAAUCAGUGCUGAAUUCUACGAUUCCUGUAUAAGCAAGCAAUUUCUGUUUAAUCUUGUAAUAUUUUUUUUCGAAAAUGCUGAAAGCACUGAUCAUCUUUGGAAGUGGGGUUUAUACAGGUGUAUAUGUAGCACAAACUUACCAGGAUUUUCUUUCUCUAUUUUGUAAGAGAACAGCACAAGAAUGUGAGAGAGCUCUGGAAAAAAAGAAAUGAUAGAAAAGGUGGAGUCCCCGCAGGUUUUAGUUGAGAAAGCUCAGGCCUUUAUUAAAGCAAAAAUUGAUGAGUUCAAUGGCAAAAAAGACUAAUGUAGGCUUGAAUUAAAUUGUAAAUACGUGGGUUGUAGCAUGAUUUUAUUUUAUAAUAAAUAAUACAUGAAAUUGUA